AUGGUACUAUAUAGUCUCAUGGUGUUUCUAGGCUCUCAGAUGGUACUAUAUAGUCUCGUGGUGUUUCUAGGCUCUCUGAUGGUACUAUAUAGUCUCGUGGUGUUUCUAGGCUCUCAGAUGGUACUAUAUAGUCUCGUGGUGUUUCUAGGCUCUCUGAUGGUACUAUAUAGUCUCAUGGUGUUUCUGGGCUCUCUGAUGGUACUAUAUAGUCUCAUGGUGUUUCUAGGCUCUCUGAUGGUACUAUAUAGUCUCAUGGUGUUUCUAGGCUCUCAGAUGGUACUAUAUAGUCUCAUGGUGUUUCUAGGCUCUCAGAUGGUACUAUAUAGUCUCAUGGUGUUUAAAAAGCUCUGACAUGUUAAUCACAGGCUUCAACACAUUCUUGUGGAUCUGUCCAGAAAUUGUGGCAUUGUUGACAAGUCACAUGAUGUGCAGUGGAACCUAUGAAGAGGCAAGAAUGAAUUAUUUCAGGCUUGGGCGUUGCCAGGCAAAGUAGAUUAACCAAUAACCUCCUGGUUUUUGAUUGGUUGAAAACAGGCUGUUGCCAUUUUAUAUUUACCUACAGUCAUUUUAUUUGCAUAAUAUAAUUUAUUUUCAUAUUUAAUGUAGGAAAGUUAUUGUACUGUAAUAUAAUACUACUCCAUCUCUCUCUCUUCCAGUUCGUCAGUUUACAAUUGACACAUUGUUGUACAGUAAAAUGAUAAUGAUAAUGAAUUGAACCUGUGCUUGUCAUUCAGCUGUACAACAGCUCUUUAUUUCUGCUUUAGUAUUAAUGUCCGUCUCCCGUAGGUAAACAAUCCAAGUGUGUGGUAUACUUUCCUAAAAUGUCCUUGUUUCCAGAACUCCUAGUUGGAUGAUUAUGGAUUUCCUGCUUUUUUUGGGGGGGGUUUGCAACCUUAAUCCAGUCCAUGGUGUAUAUAAAGACAGGUUGUAACAGUGUAUAUGUAUAUAUUAUUGGAAUAAAAUACAUAAUGAUUUGAACAACUCAAAUGUGUUGACAUGUUUUAUAAUGUUGACUGACCCAAAGUGUCAGUGGCGGUAUGUUAUAGUUCCAAACCUCUGGUUUCACGGCUCAGUGUGCAGUAAAUCCAUGUUGAUUCCUUCUGUUCUACUCCUGUCAUUGGUGACUUCAGGACCUAAACGGCUGCUCUUCUCCAAAGCUUUGUCCCAAAUGGCACCCUGUUCCAAAUGUAGUGCACUGCUUUUGACCAGGAGGCUCAUUAGGGCUCUAGUCAAAAGUUGUGCACUCUGCAGGGACUAGGGUGACAUUUGGGACACAAUCUUAGUCAUUCCCCCCUCCACCACAGUGAUAGAGACACCAUCUCCCUCUAUUUAGCAAUGAGUUGGUCUUGGCUAGCAGCAGCGGUGUUCAGCUGGUUGGGAGGGAGAGAGGAACUCUAGGAGGGGAGAGAGGGUCGGAGAGGAACUCUAGGAGGGGAGAGGGGGUCGGAGAGGAACUCGAGGAGGGGAGAGAGGGUCGGAGAGGAACUCGAGGAGGGGAGAGAGGGUCGGAGAGGAACUCGAGGAGGUUAGACUGGGAGAGAGGGUCGGAGAGGAACUCGAGGAGGGGAGAGAGGGUCGGAGAGGAACUCGAGGAGGUUAGACUGGGAGAGAGAGUCGGAGAGGAACUCGAGGAGGGAAGACCGGGUCGGAGAAGAAAUCGAGGAGGGAAGACAGGGAUAGAGGGUCAGAGAGGAACUCUAGGAGAGAGAGUCGGAGAGGAACUCGAGGAGGGAAGACAGGGAAGACAGGGAGAGUCGGAGGGGAACUCAAGGAGGUUAGACUGGGAGAGCGGGUCGGAGAGGAACUCAAGGAGGGAAGACAGGGAGAAGCAAUGACUGACUGAAGAGUGAAAACAGGAGUGUGUUGGUGUGUCCCGUAGUGUGGAAUGGUCUUGUGGCCAGCGGUGGGCUGGUCUGGUGUUUCCUGUUAAUUCAAGGGCAUUGCUGGGGCCUGGAGAGGAAUGCCACAGAGGCCUCACUGGGUUGGAGAGGGACUGAGGAGGGAGAGACGCAGGAGGAGGAGCCACAUGGUCCCAGUACCACAGGGAGCUACUCUUCUGGGGACAGUUGACUGACAAGGUAGACCCUUCCAUAUUCUACUUUGUGUUUCAGUCUAACACUCAUUUCAUGACCCCAAUGACGUUGCUGUGGCAGUUUGGAACUCAGUGAGUUGCAUUUGAGGACAGAAUUUUUAUGCGCUACACACUUCAGCGGUCCCGUUCUGCGAGCUUGUUUGGCCUACCACUUCACGGCUGAGCCGUUGUUGCUCCUAGACGUUUCCACUUACAGUUGACUGGUGCAGCUCGAGCAGAGCAGAAAUUUGACGAACUGACUUGUUGGAAAGGUAGCAUCUUAUGACAUUGAGAGUCACUGAGCUCUUCAGUAAGGCCAUUCUACUGCCAAUGUUUGUCUAUGGAGAUUGCAUCAUGUGCUUGAUUUUAUACACCUGUCAGCAACGGGUGUGGCUUAAAUAGCAGAAUCCGCUAAUUUGAAGGGGUCUCCACAUACUGCUGUGUGUAUAUUGUGAAUCAUUCUGGGGGGAAAAUACCUGUAUGCCUAUGGAUGUGUAGCUAGCUAUCGAGCCGAUCUGUGUCUUGACCCAAACGUUUGGUAUUCAUUAGUUCAGAACCGAGCUAUGAACCUCAGCUAUCAUAGCCAGUUGUAUCAACUUCAAAACAGUCUGAAUGACAUUAAU
ensembl:lncRNA